CACCUUCGGCCACUGCAUCUACAGGGGCUGCAGCCGCCUCCGCCUCGGCUGAUGCCCCAGCUGUAACUG
rnacentral:sRNA from 1 species